AGUGAACGCUGGCGGCAGGCCUAACACAUGCAAGUCGAACGGAAGGACAGUAAGAUUGUGCUCUUGCGGGUGGCGAGUGGCGGACGGGUGACGAAUACAUCGGAAUCUACUUUUUCGGGGGUGAUAACGUAGGGAAACUUACGAUAAUACCGCAUACGACCAACGGGUGAAAGCAGGGGAGCUUCGGACCUUGCGUGAUUGAAUUAGCCGAUGCCGGAUUAGCUAGUUGGCGGGGUAACGGCCCACCAAGGCGACGAUGCGUAGCUGGUCUGAGAGGAUGAUCGGCCACACUGGAACUGAGACACGGUCCAGACUCCUACGGGAGGCAGCAGUAGGGAAUCUUGCGCAAUGGGCGAAAGCCUGACCCAGCCACGCCGCGUGAGUGAAGAAGGCCUUCGGGUCGUAAAGCCCUGUUGUUGGGAAAGAACAGCUGUAGAUUUAUCCACGGCUGUCUUGACGGUACCCAAUGAAUAAGCACCGGCUAACUACGUG
rnacentral:rRNA from 1 species